rnacentral:rRNA from 1 species
UACGGAGGGGACUAGCGUUGUUCGGGAUUACUGGGCGUAAAGCGCACGUAGGCGGAUUUGUAAGUCAGGGGUGAAAUCCCGGGGCUCAACCUCGGAACUGCCUUUGAUACUGCAAAUCUCGAGUCCGGAAGAGGUGAGUGGAAUUCCUAGUGUAGAGGUGAAAUUCGUAGAUAUUAGGAAGAACACCAGUUGCGAAGGCGGCUCACUGGUCCGGUACUGACGCUGAGGUGCGAAAGCGUGGGGAGCAAACAGG